GGCCACGUGGCCUAGUGGAUAAGACGUCUGACUUCGGAUCAGAAGAUUGAGAGUUCCAGUCCCUUCGCGGUCG
rfam:Heterocephalus glaber contig154716, whole genome shotgun sequence.